CCGGUUGGACCUAAAAUAAAACUGAAACCGGAGAUAACUCUACAGAAAUAGACGCCGUUAUCUUCAUGCAUAAUAAUUUCCCAAUAAUAACACUAUUUAAAACCUGCCAUCUCCAUAACUACACAAUUUGAUAAACAAACGAAUACACAGUUAAGGGUCUUCUAGUACAAAUUCUGAAAAGAAGAGGAUGCUGAAAGGAAGACGUUGUUCUGCUGCAAGGUAUCUAUGCAAUCUGAUCAGUGAUCACCAGGGAGGGUCUUGAUGAUAUCAGAAUCACCUGGGUCAAUUAUGCUCAGGCAAGAGACACGGAAAUACUUGCCACAAGCAGUUCCCAAGUCGAUAUUGUUUCCAUUGUAAUGGUGGACUCCGACCUUUGCAAGCAUCGCAUAGUACUCGAUUUCAGAUUUUCUGAGCGGUGGGCAAUUGUUCGAAAUUAUAAUAAGUUUACCUUUAGAGUUCCUGAGAGAGCGAAGCACGGUUUUGUAACCGAGAGUGAACCUUCCGCUCUUCAUAACCAGAGCGAGCCUGUUGUUGAUGCUCUCAUGGGUCUUCUUAGCUUUCUUGCCAAUAGCCAUUUUUGCAGUGGAAGAAAGCUCAGAUCUUUCAGUUAGUUAGGGAUAUUCUUUUGUGAGAGUCCUGCCGCGCAAACCCUACUAUUAUUCUCUUGGCUGAUGUUGCUAAAG
rnacentral:misc_RNA from 1 species